UACGUAGGGUGCGAGCGUUAAUCGGAAUUACUGGGCGUAAAGCGUGCGCAGGCGGCUUCGUAAGUCAGACGUGAAAUCCCCGGGCUUAACCUGGGAAUGGCGUUUGAAACUGCGGAGCUGGAGUGUGGGAGAGGGAGGUGGAAUUCCACGUGUAGCGGUGAAAUGCGUAGAUAUGUGGAGGAACACCGGUGGCGAAGGCAGCUUCCUGGGCCAACACUGACGCUGAGGCACGAAAGCGUGGGGAGCAAACAGG
rnacentral:rRNA from 1 species